GGAACGGAAAACGACGCGAAAUAGGGGAGCGCGCCUCCCACUCGGCCGAUCGCGUUCCCGCCUUUUCGUCGUUAUCACCGCGUCCGACGCCCCAAACGUGUUCGUUAUCACCGAGCCGCCGUUUUGUGCGUCGUUUAUUCUGUCGUUAUUUCAAUAUAGUGUAUUUACUGUAUUCGUUUAUUAAUGUGAUUUUGUAAAUUUUCUACUUCUACUACUAUUGCGAUUAUAUAUAUAUAUAUUAAUCGAAACUCGCCGUUGGUAAUUUUACACUGCGAUUAACGCAGUUUAUCAAUUGUCGAUAUUGUGUGACGGUCUUUGAUUUGAUUCGAUUUUGUAAUUUUUAGAUGGCGUUUGUCGUGUGCCCCGAAGGACUGCUUCGAUAACGAGAGCUCUGGCUCUAACGAUCUCACAAACGGAGGAUUUAUUAACACGGUUUUUAGACGGCGUUUGUUGCGUCCCGAGGUGGUAUGCUUCCAUAACGGCUCGGCCUGUUGGCCAAAAGUGCUGGUUCUAAUGGAUAACGGAUUUAUUACGCGGACUCGCGUCUGUUGUGCCCGGAUGAAUACGUUGGAGACUUCUGGCCGUUAUCGCUAUUGGAUUGAUUUAUUUAUAACGAUGGUAAUUCAUUAAAAAAAAUUAAUUGUCAUUGACUUUUCUCAAAGUAGAGUUCAUCCUUUACAUUUAAAUUAAUUUCGAUUAGCGUAUGUUAAUCAUUAGGUCGAUUUGUAUUUUGUUUAUAGUUGCUAUAUUCAUGUACUACAUCGGUCAAUACAUUCUCUCUCUCUCU